CCUGCCCCUAGAGACAUUGCAGAUGUAGCUGCUGUGUCACAUGUGUGUCAAUAGGUGGCAGAGAGGAGAGAGGCUAAGCCUAUUCUGUGUUCUGACCUAGGAACAUCUGAAUGAUUAGCAAUCUAAUACA